rnacentral:lncRNA from 1 species
CGGAUGAUUUAUCUGCGAACAAUGGGGAGAAAUUACAAGUUUUGUUAGUCUAGUUCCUAAUUUCUCGACUUUCCGCUCCAACUUUGCGGGUUCGGAGGGCGACGGUGGUAUUUUUGUCUGCCCUGGUUUGCCCUUGUUCCUAUUCCCCCCUCUCUCCCAGCUCUCUCGUCUUUACCGUCGUUUUAAUCUUUUCGCUUCCGAGAUUUAUUCACGUGAUUUACAGUUUGGAUUCGCACCAGGCGCUGUCAACCGUUGAGACAAAGGCGCCGCUCUCCGAUGAGACAGUUCUAUUCUCUCUAGUUCCACAAAGUAUCUCGCCUGCUUUCACGCCCGCCCAAACGAACGGAGAGCACAGCCGCGCUCUCUUCACCUCUGCACUCCAGCCGUUCUCCACUACCCACCUUCAGUACAUCCGAGAUUGUCUUCUGUUCUCUUAUAUUACCGAUCCUCCCUCGCAAUACCAAUUCCUCGCCUUUCCUCACUCCCCAGUUCCAGCUUUGUCUUCUUUACGAACUGGUGAACAGGCGUCAAACAAUUAUACCGACUGUGAAGAACUCAAAGGCAAACCAAAGUGUUUUUCUAAUCUCAGUCGACAACCACCGUCACAGGAUUUAAUCAAUCAUCUUUAUUUCAGACCUCGGUAUUUUGUGAGAAACUUCGUAGGCACGAAGUUGAUAUAUAGAUGACUAAAAAAUCUUCACCACCUGUUUUCUUGUCACGUGAAAAACAAGUUGAGCUCUGAUCAAUUUAAAAUCACCGCUGUUGUCUCACUUGAAAUUUUAUUUCAACUCUAAGACUGUUUCCAGCGCCUACGGAUUAUCCAGCGCUACUUUGGCCGGGAGGAAAUGAUGGUAGAAGCGGUUUGGUUAUGGUUCCACUUGCAGCGAUAUCCUAAAAGCUCAAAAUUUCAAAUCCGAAAUGCACUAGUCCUUUCUACACUGUUCCAUCGUCCAUGGUUCACGGUCUUCAGAAAGCAGCAUUGAUCGAAAAAAAAAUGUUUGCACGUCUUAGCGUCCCGAUCUGUUUUUCCAUGAUGAAUGAAAUUGAACUGUUUUCUUGUUCAGACCAACCCGAAAGCUCGAAGACGCAUCGUUGAAGGCUUGGAUCAGACGCUGAGUCCAGGCGUAAUUUAUAUUCAUCGGAAAGUUUGAUACUUAGAUACAGUUGAGGAGUUAAGGCGGAGUGAUUUUCUUUCCGCCACUUCCUUCGGAACGAGGACAGAUAAUAAUGGAGAAUAGAAAAAUAUACUAGAAUGGACGGACGAAUAGCUGUCGCGGUUAGAAAGCCACCGCCGGCUGCGCCGAUCGACCUUUUAUUCGUCAACAAUCGAUCUCCAUAAAAUAGCGUUACGCCGCAAAAUGAGCUCCUAUCCUAUGCGGGUAGUUCGAAUGCGGCGAACCCCUUCAGCGCACCCGAAUCCCAUUCCUAAUAUUGCGCACUUCUUCAAUACCGGGUUGAAAAAUUCCUCUCCGUUUUGGCAAGAAUCAAAAACGCUUUAUGUGAUAUUUUCCUUUAAAUUGUUGAAGUUGGAAUCUGACAGAAGUCAACUGUUUCGUGACCGUCUUUUGAUAUAAUUUUAAAAAAACCAUUGUUCCUUAUUCCCUGUGUACAUUAUACGUAUUCCCUGAAACCCCUGCGCCGUUGGUUAAUUUAAUUUGCGCGGGCACAAAAGGCGCUACCCACAAUACAACGAGACCGGUUUCCUUCCAGCCACCUUGAACGAUACCUUGAAACCGUUUACUCGUUUUACAGAAGGAAAAGCGCCUCAGUUUUCUGACAUUUUUUCGCCCGUGCACGUACAGCUUUCACACAUAUAUUGGCAUCAUGAACGCCUUAUUCGAGAGAUCGAAUUCUGCAGUCCUGAUUCGUUAGAAUCGUCAAGGAUGGUGAAAAAAAAUCAGUAAUCUAAUUUCAUACCGCGCAAAUCAGCGCCGAUGCAUGCAAUGGCAAAUUUUCGGGGCAAACACAAUGCGCAGAGUAGCAAAUAGAAAAAAUCUCUCGGACAUCGGAGAGAGUGAAUUCAUGUACAUAUAUGGGGGAUAACGAGCGGCAGGUUGUCCUAGAAAUUGCGUCUAUUUAUUGAUCGCCCGUAUAUACAUAUUCACCUGUGCAUUACACUCGCCUAGAUACGUCGAGAUGUGACGACAUAUUCGUCAAGCUCUAAAAAUUUCGACUUGCCAACGAGCGCGUUUUAUGCAUAAAAUAUUUCGGAGGAAACGAGGAUGAAAAAAGUUAAUGAGUGGCUAAGCGGGAAAGUAUUAACUCAUAUAUCUGUUUUACUGGCAAAAAAUUCGGGCCGUUCGCGCUGCACUCGCCCGUGCUAUUAGCUCUUAAGUUAAGCCGGAAAUUCGAAUCCGGAUCUGCGCAGCCCCAGCUGCCGGGCGGCAAAGAGCCCUAAAGAAAUUUAUACCCUCUUUCAACCUCUUUGGAAAAAUACCUACGGCCAACCCUUCUCGCCGCUGCUGAACCUUAGCCCAACCCUCGAUCAACCCCUCAACCUCUUCACAGUCCCAGUGUAUCGGUGUACCGCUGAACUCUUUGGACUGCUCAGAUUCUUCCCAAUUUAUCGGCGAUCCUUCCCCGAAUGUACAAUCUAACGUGACUCCGUGUAUUUCAGUUUUCACGAUUACUUGACAAUAGCGUGAUAUAGCAGUUCUGUGAUGGAAUUGGUUUGUUGGUAGAGGAAGAAUGACACAUCAUCAUUUUUAUCUUGUAAUUUUUUAUUGAAAAAACAACAGAGUACAAUCAUCAUAUCACACAUCAUACAUAGUAUUAAAGUUCGAAACCAAAUCUUGGAUGACCGGAUGUUCAGAAAGUGACGUCACCCAAAUUUUUUUUUUUCCUGACGUCAUCGAUCUAUAGUAAUCGUCGACGACGAAAAUCAGCUAGCGGAAUUCCUCAGUCUGGAAACAACCGCGCAGUAGAGAGGACGGAUGAGAAUCGCAUUCCGCGGAUUUCGAGUACCAGGUUCUCUACCUCCUGGAUCCUGCGCUCCAGGUCCGCUACCUGGUGAAACUGGACUUCCGGGACAAGUGCUCCGUAGUUUCUGCGCUCCAGGUUCUCCACCCGGUGAAAUUCGACCUCCAGAACAAGCGCUGCGUGGUUCCUGCGCUCCAGGUCCUUCACCUGGUGAAUUUCGUCCUCUAGGACCAGCGCUCCGAAGUUCCUCAUAGUUGCUGCGCUGCCGGUGAUUUACCUAAUGAAUAGCGACUUCCAGGUCCUCUACCUGGUGAAUUUCAACCUUCAGGAUAAGCGCACCGGAGUUCCUGCGCCCCAGGUGAUUUACCUGACGAAUUACAACUUCCAAAUCCUCUACCUGAUGAAUUUCGACCUCCAGGACCAGUGCUCCGUAGUUCUUGCUCAGUGCAGUGAGCAGUGAGAUCGUUCGAAAAUUCAUCAGAAUGUUACGGGGUGGACGAUUGUAAUCAAGACGAGCGGCUAUCGCAGAGAGGAACUUGUACUGAGGAGUUAAAUGUUUGAGUACAUAAUUGAUGUAUUGUAAAAGAUAUGGAGCGUAGAAUGAGAAGAUGUGGAGGAGGAAAAGGGGUAGAGAGAUGAAUUUUGAGAUGUUGGCCAAAAGGAAGAUGACUCAAGAGUGUAUAUAUAGGGGGAAGGAUGCAAGGACUGGGUAAUUGCACUUUAGGAGUAGAGGGAGCACUCUGUUGAUAUUGUACGGGAACUGAGGCAGCAAGGUGAUGAUAAGAAGAGGAUGCAGGGUAUAAGAUAGCUGUAAGAGUGUGGGAAAUAAAUCUAAGGUCUGAAGGACGUAACAAUGAAAGAUCGGUUAGAGAAUAAAAUCAGAAAUAAUUCAGGACAGGGUGGCCACUCAAUUCCGAUCACGGAAUUCCCUGACAUUUCCCGGUUUUCCCUGACUAAAAUCAUUAUUUUUCCCUAACAUUUUGAUGCACAAUUUGUGCAGAAAUCACUAAAAACUAUAGUAACCUAGGUAAAGUAUGGUUAAAUAUAUUAAAGUUAUAAAAGUUUUUAAAAGUUGUUUAUUCCGUUCAUUAUGAUUUUUGAAAGUUGACAAAAAAUGAAAAUUUCCAUUUCUGUGGUCUUGUUAAGUAUAUAUUUAAGAAGGGGCUCCAAGAAGCGAAAUAUUUUUAGAGAUAUUAUUUGAACAUUUAUGCUGUUUGCAAUGAAAAUCGAGGUUUGAAGAAUUAUGAUUAAUUAACGAAUGUGUAACUUUUUGAAAAAUAAACUUAAAAAUUUUUUUCCAACGGGACAUUUUUCUUUUAAGUGUUAAGAAUACACCACAAUUUAUCCAAAUUUUUAAAUUGAUAUUUAUUACAGCAAAACAAUUAUUUUGUGCGGUGUACUGUCUAGAUGCGGCAUGUCUAUGCCGUAACAGUUGCGCAGAGCCCUAUGUUCAGCGUUAAAUUAAAAUUACUAAAAUUACUAUUGAAGAUAGAAUUCCUGGUGCUCGUACUUUUUCAUUGGAAAUUUCUUCUUCUUUAAGAAUCUUUUUAAAAUUUUCGCUAGUGCUUUUACUUUUUGAGUUAUUGCCAAAAAACUGAGGCUUCGUUUUUUCUAGACUAUUACGCGUCGGUGAACGUGCGUCUCCACACGCAAUGACGGCCAUAGAUAAAUCAGACCGAUGUCUGCUCGUACUACUGAAUUCAUGUGACAAUCAACAACUAAGCUCAUAAUCGUCAAUAAGAAGAGAAGAAAAAUUGGGACGAUGCGGUGAUAGCAUCUCAAUUUUAUGGACAAGGCUUUUGAAAUCCGUGAGUUCUAUAAAAAGUCCCUGACCAAC